GGUCGGUAAGUUAUUAUUAGGCAUUAGGUUAUUCAUUGGUUGGUGCUGAUAGAGGAGGUUGGAUUAUGUCUAUAUAAACAACAUGCAUGUGUGACCUAAACGAGCGUCACUUCCCGGGAUCCCGUUUCGCUUCCGGUUUAUGGACUGAGAGCUGUUGUGAUUUUGGUAUGUGAAACAACUAUCGCUAUGCAUCUCUUUAAAACACGGAUUAUACAUGUCGGUUUUCUGCAGCUUCGCAGGAUGAUCGCGGCAACUGUAGUCAUCUCCAUGGCUGCAGAUAUCGUGGCUUUGACUUAUUGUUCGUGGUGUGUGUCUCACAUCUGUUUAUGCGACCAUAUUCAGCCAAUACAAUGCCGUGUAUGGGCGGAUGACGACUGUUAUUCUCCCUCGUGUAUCCUGAGCUUCACCAGCUGAAUGAUUAAACUGAAAUUAUACUUCGCAUUGCAACUAUGGAGUAUUAUCUUCACCUCUACUGACUCCCGGGUCCCUGCGCCUGUUAUAUGGAGCUGCAGACCUUUUCUGAAGAGCAGGGCUGAAGUCUUUAGGUGGUGAUGGUGUUUCCUCACGGACUGCUGUGAUUUACCGUGUGCACUGGGGCUUUUGUGAGUGGUGUAAGUUUGCAGUGUACGUAGAGUAAAGGCCUGUACGGCCGGUCAUUUAGCCUAGCCUGCAGCUCCUCGUGUUGUCUUUUCUGGACCAUUUGUGUGAUUGUGGUUUUAUAAGUGAAUGCAUUUUAAAUUUCCUUUGUCAUUAAAUGCAAUAAACAGUGUUCCAUUUUUAUACCAGUA